CAUUUUACAAUCUCACCAGCAAAGUAUGAAGGUUCUAAUUUCUCCACAUCCUUGCCAAAACUUUCGUCUGUCUUGUUGAUUACAUCCAGUCUAAUGGAAUAAUUUUGGCUGCUCUUGGGCCUUAGGCCAGGCACAGUGGCUCACACCUGUAAUCUCAGCACUUUGGGAAGCCGAGGUGGGAGGACUGCGUGAAGCCAGGAGUUCAAGGUCAGCCUGGACAACAAAGCAAGACCCCCAUCUCUACAAAAAAUUUUAAAAAUUCAGCUGGGCAUGGUGGUGUGCAACUGUAGUCCCAGCUACUUGGGAGGCUAAGGUGGGAAGAUCACUUAAGCCCAGGAGUUCAAGGCUGCAGUGAGCUAUAAUCGCACCAGUGCACUCCAAUGUGGGUGACAGUGAGAUCCUGUCUUUAAAAAUUAGAUUUAUUUUUGUCAGAUAAAUCCAAGGAAUUGCAUUAAAUCUAUAGGUCAAAUUGAGGACAAUUGACAUCUUUAAGAUACUUAAGGUAUUCAAGAUUUAGUGGGUAUAUUUCUCCAUGAUUUAGGUCUUCUUUAAUUUCUUUUAAAACAGUUAAAAGUUCUCCAAAUAGGACUUAUACGGCUAUUCUUAGAUUCAUUCCUAUACACUUUCUAUUUUGCUGUGUUAGCAGAAUCAUUUUUUAAAUUAUGUUUUCUGUUUCUUGCUGGAUUAUAUAUUUAGACAACUGCUAAACUGUCUUAUUAUUUCCAAUAGUUUACUGAUCCACUUAGGUUUUAUGUAUAGAUUUUAUGUACAGACAAUCAUAUCAUCAGUGAAUAAUAUCAGGUUGCUUCCCUCUUUCUAAUUUGUAUCCUAUUUCUUUUUCUUGUAUAGCUGUGACCAAUGGCAUCUGUAUUUCACUGUUGAACAGCAGCAGUGAUUAACGGGCACCCUUCUCCUUUCCUGAUUUUAAAGGGAAUCCUUCUAACAUUUCACCCUAAAAAUGAUGUUUGCUCUAAGUUUUUGAUUAAUAUUCUUUAUCAGGGUAAGGAUACUCCCUCCUAUUCCUAGCUUAUUAAGAUUAUCACAGAUAUGAGUUGAAUUUUGCCAAAUGCUUUUCUUUACCUGAGAUGAUCACAUGGUUUUUCUCCUUUCAGUGUGGCAACGUGAUGGAUUAUAUUAAUGGAUUUCUAACAUGAAAUCACCCUUGCAUUCUUGCAUUCAGUCCAGCUUGGUUGAAAUGUAUAAACAUUUUUAUGUACUGCUAGAUUCUGUUUCUAAAUUUUGGUUAGGAAUUUUACACUUAAAAUUAAAUGUAAGAUUGGUAUGUAAUUUGCUUUUUACUGUUCCUGGCUGACUUUCAUAUCAAGACUACACUGGCUUUAGAAUAAAUGGGGGAUAUUACUUCUUUUUUUCCUGUCACAGAUUUUGUUUAUUAUUGGAGUUUUCUGUUCCUUGAAUGUUUGGUAAGAACUUGACCAAAAUCAUUUGAGUCUGAUGUUUUCUUUAAUAAAAUAUUUAAAACUAAAUGCUAUAUUUA
rnacentral:lncRNA from 10 species